CCUACGGGUGGCAGCAGUGAGGAAUAUUGGUCAAUGGGCGUAAGCCUGAACCAGCCAAGUCGCGUGAGGGAUGAAGGUUCUAUGGAUCGUAAACCUCUUUUAUAAGGGAAAAAAGUGCGGGACGUGUCCCGUAUUGUAUGUACCUUAUGAAUAAGGAUCGGCUAACUCCGCGCCAGCAGCCGCGGUAAUACGGAGGGUCUGAGCGUUAUCCGGAUUUAUUGGGUUUAAAGGGUGCGUCGGCGGCCGUUUAAGUCAGCGGUGAAAGUCUGUGGCUCAACCAUAGAAUUGCCGUUGAAACUGGGAGGCUUGAGUAUGUGUGAGGCAGGCGGAAUGCGUGGUGUAGCGGUGAAAUGCAUAGAUAUCACGCAGAACUCCGAUUGCGAAGGCAGCUUACUAAGCCAUAACUGACACUGGAGCACGAAAGCGUGGGGAUCAAACAGGAUUAGAUACCCCAGUAGUC
rnacentral:rRNA from 1 species